UCAAUUUUCAAUUUCCAUGACUCUGAUAUUUUAGGGUUUUCUUCGGUUUGUCAUUGUUUUGCUGCAGAAUUUGAUGAAGAAAGUUAUUGAGUCCACAAGCAUAUGACUGGUCGAUGUUGAUCGGUGAUGCGUGGCUGAAUGAAGGACAUGGAUCCGAUUGCAGUUUGAAGAUUGGGCGAAGUUAUGCUGAUGAAGAUGAACGAACGAGUUGCGAAGAAAACUUGUGUGUUAGAUGGAAUAUCAUGGCAAAAGGCUUUGGUUCCCACAUGUUGUGAACCUGAAACUCACCCAUUUCCUUCUUUCCUUUGCAGAUAUGUUGCAAACACUGCUGUUUGGUCAAAGAGUUUAGAAACACAGAUUAAAGAUGAAGAUUGAUUAUGAAGAAUUUGAAGGUGGAGAAGGCACGAAAUUUAGGACAUUGUUUCUUCUCUUUUUUAGACAUUAGGAUGAGUUUUGCUGCAAGUUUCAUGUAAUGGCAUCAUUGUUUCUUCUCUUUUUUAGACAUUAGGAUGAGUUUUGCUGCAAGUUUCAUGUAAUGGCAAUGAUGCAUGUGUCUUUGACUUGGAGUGUAAUGAAAAUGUAGGAUCCCCUCUUUAAAUAGUGUUUGUUUAAAUUUC